GACGAACGCUGGCGGCGUGCUUAACACAUGCAAGUCGAACGGAAAGGCCCUGCUUUUGUGGGGUGCUCGAGUGGCGAACGGGUGAGUAACACGUGAGUAACCUGCCCUUGACUUUGGGAUAACUUCAGGAAACUGGGGCUAAUACCGGAUAGGAGCUCCUGCUGCAUGGUGGGGGUUGGAAAGUUUCGGCGGUUGGGGAUGGACUCGCGGCUUAUCAGCUUGUUGGUGGGGUAGUGGCUUACCAAGGCUUUGACGGGUAGCCGGCCUGAGAGGGUGACCGGCCACAUUGGGACUGAGAUACGGCCCAGACUACUACGGGAGGCAGCAGUGGGGAAUAUUGCACAAUGGGCGGAAGCCUGAUGCAGCAACGCCGCGUGCGGGAUGACGGCCUUCGGGUUGUAAACCGCUUUCGCCUAUGACGAAGCGUGAGUGACGGUAAUGGGUAAAGAAGCACCGGCUAACUACGUG
rnacentral:rRNA from 1 species